rnacentral:lncRNA from 13 species
CAUGACAUUGUUUUCUUUCUUUCUUUUUUUUUUAAUUAUACUUUAAGUUCUGGGGUACAUGUGUCGAUCGUGCAGGUUUGUUGCAGAGGUAUGCCCAUGCCAUGGUGGUAGUUUGCUGCAUCCAUUGCCCCAUCAUCUACAUUAGGUAUUUCUCCUAGUGUUAUCCCUCCCUAAUCCCCCACCCCCUGCCAUUCUUCCCCUAGCCCUCCACCCCGCAAGGCCCCAGUGUGUGAUGGUUCCCUCCCUGUGUCCAUGUGUUCUCAUUGUUCAACACCCACUUAUGAGUGAGAACAUGCAGUGUUUGUUUUUCUGUUCUUGUGUCAGUUUGCUGAGAAUGAUGGUUUCCAGUUUCAUCUAUGUUCCUGUAAAGGACAUGAACUCAUCCUUUUUUAUGGCCGCAUAGUAUUUGUUGGUGUAUAUGUGCCACAGUUUCUUUACCCAGCAUGACAUUGUUUUUCAAUCAACAGAUGCUAAGCACUGUGGCUGCACUUGUGCAGGGGUCUGCAGAUGGCCUUGCCACGAAACAAGAAUCCUCAGAAGCCCCCAGGAAGAUUGGGAACUACUGAGACAAUGCAGGCCCGAAUGGAUUGCUGCUCUACUCCUCCCCAAGUCAUUUGCAAAUGGCACAAGAACAAAGACAAAAGAAAAGGAUGAGAAAAGAGAAAUUCCCAGAGCUUGAAAAUGGGGGCUCAGUUUUCGUCUGCAAAGUGGGUUAAGAAAUGGAGAACUGUAACACCACGUAGAAAGUGUCUGUAUUUCCUGUGUCACUUCUCUAUUUGAAGUUUUCUGUAAGGGGGGAAGAUCCAUGGAGAAUCAAUAUGUGUGGGUUGUUGUUCCCACUUAAUCUUCACGAUAGCACUGUAAUGUGGCUCUCUAUUCCCAUUUCACAAUCCAGAACACUGAGACCCAGAGCCAUUCAGAAUUUCCCAAGAUUGUGGAGUUUAGGUGGAAACAAACUCCACUGUGUGACUCCAGUGUUGCUACUGACAUGACCCUGCUCUGCCUUCCCCACCUUUCAGAUGAGGACAUUUCCUUUGUUUUCUGUGGG